rnacentral:rRNA from 1 species
AUUGAACGCUGGCGGCAUGCCUUACACAUGCAAGUCGAACGGUAACAGGUCUUCGGAUGCUGACGAGUGGCGAACGGGUGAGUAAUACAUCGGAACGUGCCUAGUAGUGGGGGAUAACUACCCGAAAGAGUGGCUAAUACCGCAUGAGAUCUACGGAUGAAAGCAGGGGAUCGCAAGACCUUGUGCUACUAGAGCGGCCGAUGGCAGAUUGGGUAGUUGGUGGGAUAAAAGCUUACCAAGCCGACGAUCUGUAGCUGGUCUGAGAGGACGAUCAGCCACACUGGGACUGAGACACGGCCCAGACUCCUACGGGAGGCAGCAGUGGGGAAUUUUGGACAAUGGGCGCAAGCCUGAUCCAGCAAUGCUGCGUGCAGGAUGAAGGCCUUCGGGUUGUAAACUGCUUUUGUACGGAACGAAAAGCCCUGGGUUAAUACCCUGGGGUCAUGACGGUACCGUAAGAAUAAGCACCGGCUAACUACGUGCCAGCAGCCGCCGUAAAAC